UACGUAGGGGGCUAGCGUUGUCCGGAUUUAUUGGGCGUAAAGAGCGUGUAGGCGGCCAGGUAGGUCUGCUGUGAAAACUCGAGGCUCAACCUCGAGACGUCGGGCGGAAACCCAUCUGGCUAGAGUCCGGAAGAGGAGAGUGGAAUCCUGGUGUAGCGGUGAAAUGCGCAGAUAUCGGGAAGAACACCCGUGGCGAAGGCGG
rnacentral:rRNA from 1 species